UCGCUGCUUUCCCCCUCUGGGUGAACAAGCAGAAAAAGCCAGUGGGGUUAUUUUCUUUGAUUCCUUUCCGAUUUUCUCCCUCGACCGCCGCGUCGACAACGUACCUGUUUGCCGCGCAGCCGGCAAAACUCACCCGUGCCACGGCGCGUUGCACGAUACGGGUGAGUCUGUCACGACAGUCAAACUUCAGAAAAAAUAAAAAGAAAACGGCCGGGCGCACGCACACGUGCGCGCCCGUCUGCAGCGUCCUUAUCAGAGCCGUGUUUUCCUUUGCCUUUGCGUUAACAAGCGCUGAAGAAGCCGGAAUUGCGAUACCAGCAAUCGUCACCGACAGAUCUGGCCACGCGCAGUCGCAAACGUUGAGCGAACUGCUAUCUGCUCUUUAAGCGCGAGCGAUUCAAAGGGCUGUGCUCAUGCUCGCAAGCGUUCGCUCGCCGGUGCUCAUGGUUCUACCGCUCGUGGCCCACGUUCAACCCUUGACAAGCGCCUGCCGAUACGGUUGUGUAGUUCCUUACGAGCGAACUUCUGUGGGCAGCCAGUGGUAUCCAAGAGGGAAGGGACCUGGAUUUCUGUGGUUACUGCAGCUACGUCUUAUUUUAUGUGGUCACCUUUUCUACUGUAUUUUAUAAUUUUGUGAAAUCAUUCUCCGUGUCCUUUUAUUUAUUACUCAAUAAAGCCGCUUUCUCACAA